rnacentral:rRNA from 1 species
AUGUCCAGGCCUGGACGAUGUGAAGGCAUCGUCCAUAGUUCAACCGCAGCCACUUUUUGUCCCUCCUGCCAACUCCGUCGCCCUCUCUCCCGCCAAGUCGCUUGCUCUGGAGACGAAGAGGACGCCGCCGCGAGGUCGUCGUCACGCCACACCACAGCAUCCCGAGGCGAGAUGGAAGGAGACGAGCGUUUUCUCGACAUGUUGAACUUCGGUGUAUCACCACAAGUGCCAGAUUGUCCAGUUGGGGAGCAAGAGAUGCCACCAACUCAAGAAGUGUCUGCAUCUGCCAAAGCAAAAUCCACUAAAGGAAAGAAUUGA